rnacentral:rRNA from 1 species
AAAGUCGUAACAAGGUCUCCGUUGGUGAACCAGCGGAGGGAUCAUUACCGAGUCUUACAACUCCCAAACCCAUGUGAACAUUACCUCUAUGUUGCUUCGCGAGCCGCCCCGGCGCCCGGAACCCCCUGCGGUCCGCGGCCGGAACCAAGGCGCCCGCCGGAGGCCACAAACUCUUCUGUUUUUACAGUUUCUCUCUGAGUGUGCCGCAAGGCAGUAUAACAAAUGAAUCAAAACUUUCAACAACGGAUCUUCUUGGGUUCUGGCAUCGAUGAAGAACGCAAGCGAAAGGUCGAUAAGUAAUGUGAAUUGCAGAAUGUCAGUGAAUCAUCGAAUCUUUUGAACGCCACAUUGCGCCCGCAGAAUUUCUGGCGGGUGCAUGCCUGUUCGAGUCAUUAUCCCAACCCCUCGAGCUCCCCUUAUCGGGGGGAGCCCGCGUUGGGGACCCGGCGCUAACAACGCCGCCCCGAAAUGGAGUGGCGGCCCGUCCGCGGCGAACCUCUGCGUAGUAACAACCACUCGCACCUGGACCCGCAGCGGCACGCGUAACAACACACAACCUUCCGAAUGUUUGACCUCGGAAUCAGGUAGAGAAUACACCUGAACUUAGA